UGUAUCUGUCUUAUCUGUCUCUGCAGAAGGAAAUUCCGGAGUCCAGACCUUCCUGGUUGCCCAGAAGAUGUGACAAUGAUAUUUUGAAGCCACUAUCAGCUGCAUUCAGAGGGAGAUGACAAGAAGAGAGCACCUCACAUGCAAAUCCUUGUGUGUCUCAUGAAAGGGAAGAGCAUUUCUUGUAAAGCCAGACUCACCAUGGAAUGCUGGAAAAUGCAAGGCACUUCAUCUGCUGGAGUCACCUUUGUCCCCAGGGAGCCUUUCACCGUGAGCUCCUCGCUCUGUAACAGAGAGUCCAACUAGAGAGAAGGUCUUCCAAUGUGACCAUAUGUAGAGAUUUCCUGAAAAGAGACCUACAAAAGUA
rnacentral:lncRNA from 1 species